AUGCUUGCUUCAGGUGCAUAUAUACUAAAAUUGGAACGAUACAGAGAAGAUUAGCAUAGCCCCUGCGCAAGGAUGACACCAUUUGGAACAGCAUUCUCCCCAAGGUCU